AUUGAACGCUGGCGCCAUGCCUUACACAUGCAAGUCGAACGGUAACAGGUCUUCGGAUGCUGACGAGUGGCGAACGGGUGAGUAAUACAUCGGAACGUGCCCGAGAGUGGGGGAUAACGAAGCGAAAGCUUUGCUAAUACCGCAUACGAUCUCAGGAUGAAAGCAGGGGACCGCAAGGCCUUGCGCUCACGGAGCGGCCGAUGGCAGAUUAGGUAGUGGGUGGGAUAAAAGCUUACCAAGCCGACGAUCUGUAGCUGGUCUGAGAGGACGACCAGCCACACUGGGACUGAGACACGGCCCAGACUCCUACGGGAGGCAGCAGUGGGGAAUUUUGGACAAUGGGCGCAAGCCUGAUCCAGCCAUGCCGCGUGCAGGAUGAAGGCCUUCGGGUUGUAAACUGCUUUUGUACGGAACGAAAAGACUCCUUCUAAUAAAGGGGGUCCAUGACGGUACCGUAAGAAUAAGCACCGGCUAACUACGUGCCAGCCGCCGCGGUAAUAC
rnacentral:rRNA from 1 species